rnacentral:piRNA from 1 species
UGGUUAUAUGUACAUGGGUAGGUGCAGA